GGACUACCGGGGUAUCUAAUCCUGUUUGCUCCCCACGCUUUCGCACCUCAGCGUCAGUAUCGGGCCAGUGAGCCGCCUUCGCCACUGGUGUUCUUGCGAAUAUCUACGAAUUUCACCUCUACACUCGCAGUUCCACUCACCUCUCCCGAACUCAAGGUCCCCAGUAUCGAAGGCAGUUCUGGAGUUAAGCUCCAGGAUUUCACCACCGACUUAAGGAUCCGCCUACGUGCGCUUUACGCCCAGUAAUUCCGAGCAACGCUAGCCCCCUUCGUAUUACCGCGGCUGCUGGCAC
rnacentral:rRNA from 1 species